AUUGAACGCUGGCGGCAGGCCUAACACAUGCAAGUCGAACGAGUGGCGGACGGGUGAGUCAUGUCUGGGAACCUGCCUGCUGGAGGGGGAUCACUACUGGAAACGGUAGCUAAUACCGCAUACCAUCGGAUGUGCCCAGAUGGGAUUAGCUAGUAGGUGGGGUAAAGGCUCACCUUGGCGGCGAGCCCUAGCUGGUCUGAGAGGAGGACCAGCCACACUGGAACUGAGACACGGGCCAGACUCCUACGGGAGGCAGCAGGGGGGAAUAUUGCACAAUGGGCGCAAGCCUGAUGCAGCCAGGCCGCGUGUAUGAAGAAGGCCUUCGGGUUGUAAAGUACGUGCAGCGGGGAGGCGUGACCCGCAGAAGAAGCACCGGCUAACUCCGUGCCAGCAGCCGCGGUAAUAC
rnacentral:rRNA from 1 species